UCGAACGGUAACAGGAAUUAGCUUUGCUAAUUUGCUGACGAGUGGCGCACGGGUGCGUAACGCGUAUACAAGUCUACCUUUUGCUGGGGGGAUAGCCCAGAGAAAUUUGGAUUAAUACCUCAUGGUAUUAUUGAUAGGCAUCUAUUAAUAAAUUAAAGGUUACGGCAAAAGAUGAGUAUGCGUCCCAUUAGCUAGUUGGUGAAGUAACGGUUCACCAAGGCAACGAUGGGUAGGGGUCCCUGAGAGGGAGAUCCCCCCACACUGGUACUGAGACACGGACCCAGACUCC
rnacentral:rRNA from 1 species